rnacentral:rRNA from 1 species
CGGUAAUACGUAGGGGGCAAGCGUUAUCCGGAUUUACUGGGUGUAAAGGGAGCGUAGACGGCAAGGCAAGUCUGAAGUGAAAGCCCGGUGCUUAACGCCGGGACUGCUUUGGAAACUGUUUGGCUGGAGUGCCGGAGAGGUAAGCGGAAUUCCUAGUGUAGCGGUGAAAUGCGUAGAUAUUAGGAAGAACACCAGUGGCGAAGGCGGCUUACUGGACGGUAACUGACGUUGAGGCUCGAAAGCGUGAGGAGCAAACAGGAUUAGAUACCCUGGUAGUCCACGCCGUAAACGAUGAUUGCUAGGUGUAGGUGGGAU